rnacentral:lncRNA from 1 species
CAUUGUGUCUGAUGUUGCAGAGGGAGCAGAAACGUAUACUGCUCCCUCCACAGAGCUCUCUGCUAUUCCAUUGAUUUCAUUUGGCUUUGACAAAAAUGAUACGUACGGUAUAUUUCUUUUUCUUUCCUUUUUUUUUUUUUUUUUUUUUUUGAGACGGNNNNNNNNNNUGUCUAUUUCUUUCUACACAGACACAGUGACAAUCUGAUCUCUCUUGCUUUUCCCCACAAGAGAAUGAUUUGCAGAUGUGAGGUAAGAUUUCAGAGGUGAAGUUCUAGUGAUGACCAAACCCUUGGUUUCUCUUCAAGGAAAUCUUGCUGAGAAACAUGCCCCUAAAAACAGCUUUGAUGCCUUGUGAUUAGGGGUGAUGGCUUUCAUUAUUUUCCUCCACUCUCAAUAAUCUAUAUCAUCUGAAGGAAAGAUACAUUUCACUUGAA